rnacentral:rRNA from 1 species
UCCGAAGUCAAGCAUCAUUGGGCGCGGUCAGUACUUGGGUGGAUGACCACCUGGGAACACCGCGUGCCGUU